GAAUUUCAUUUUUUGCUUGCUACUUCACCAGUCCAGCACAGUCUUAAUUUCCCAGACUGCUUCCCAUCUUCGUGGUGGCCAUUUUAGACCACCACUGCAACUUGCCUUUGGAAGGGUUUUUUCUUAUCAGGGAGGGGAUUUGUGGUUCCUCUCUACUCUCCAAGCUAUUCUUCCUUUCUUCACC